rnacentral:rRNA from 1 species
GACGAACGCUGGCGGCGUGCUUAACACAUGCAAGUCGAACGGAAAGGCCCUGCUUUUGUGGGGUGCUCGAGUGGCGAACGGGUGAGUAACACGUGAGUAACCUGCCCUUGACUUUGGGAUAACUUCAGGAAACUGGGGCUAAUACCGGAUAGGAGCUCCUGCUGCAUGGUGGGGGUUGGAAAGUUUCGGCGGUUGGGGAUGGACUCGCGGCUUAUCAGCUUGUUGGUGGGGUAGUGGCUUACCAAGGCUUUGACGGGUAGCCGGCCUGAGAGGGUGACCGGCCACAUUGGGACUGAGAUACGGCCCAGACUCCUACGGGAGGCAGCAGUGGGGAAUACUGCACAAUGGGCGGAAGCCUGAUGCAGCAACGCCGCGUGCGGGAUGACGGCCUUCGGGUUGUAAACCGCUUUCGCCUGUGACGAAGCGUGAGUGACGGUAAUGGGUAGAGAAGCACCGGCUAACUACGUG